rnacentral:rRNA from 1 species
ACAUACGACCAUUGGAAGCUGAUCGCACAGAAUCCCGUCAGAUUUUCGCUAGUUAAGCAGUUUUCCGGCUGGUUAGUAGGCAGGUGGGUGACCACUGGCGAAUCCCCGCUGUUGUAUGUU